CCCAGACACUUGCUAGAGGAGUAACAAACCUGAAGGAAAUCCAGCCUACUCAAAUGGAUCACUCAUUACCAAAAUGUAUGCUGCUGCUACGAAAUCAAGGAAAGCAGCCUAAGUGGAAAACUACUGAGGCCACUCUGCUUCCAAAGAAGUCAUAUAAAUAGGCCUAAGAGAUGCAUGUAACCAUUCCUACUCUUCUACCUCAAGCAGUGACUGAGAAGGAAGCAUUUUUUGUUUCUUCAGAAAAGAAAGCAGACGACACGUCCAAAAGCAGGAUCAGUCCUUUUACAAUCAAGGUGCCACAUGCAACAACCAUAAUACAAGCUCCAUCACUCUACAAACUUCAUGUGUUUCUAGAUUCAAACUGCAUGAAACAGCCAUAAAUUGGAAAACAAGUUUUGAACUCACAUCUGUCUACACUGCAGGAACCACUGUAUAAACAUACAAAAACUGUUCAUUUCUAGAGCACGAUAAUCCAAUUAGAGCCAUUAAGAAAGUUUGAAUGGCACAGUCUGCUUUCCUUCAGUCACUCAGAAGAAAAUAAACAGACUCAAUACAGAUGAAAAAUCCCAAUGCUGACUUUAUGAUCAGCUCAAGGAAGUGACAUUUUGAGAUAAACAAACAGUAAGAUGAAGAGAAAGGUCAACAGGUAUUUGAGGGAGUUUACAGGAGAUAGCACAAGAGCUUCUUCUGCAGACACAUAGUCUCUGUGCAAUUACCAAUGAUGGACAGCAUGAGCUACAUGACACCUCAUAUUCUACAUGCCAGCUGAAGACAUAUUUUUAAACAUAUUCAAGUAUAAGACCCUGACAGAAGAAAAAUCACACCCCUAAAUAACAAUACCACAUGUUUCUUCUGAGGUCUUAAGCAACAAGAAUUCAGUGAAAAUACAGAAUAAAGUUAAGAGAAUGAGAAGACUGAUUAUGUGUGAGCAGCUGACACCCCCUCAAGUCACCAAGCUUCCUGGCCAGCAGAGGAAGGAGUAAGCAACAAUUUAAUGAGUGCAGAGAGCACUAUAUUAAAAUACUCAGAGACCUCAGAAGGAUCAAUCUAAAAAUAUAAGAGAGAUAUUGGAGAGAAUCCCAGCAUAAACACGUAUACCAAAACCUGUCAAACUGUUUCCGUAUCCCACCCCCGCUUCCAAGCAACAUAAGUAAACUCUUAAAAUUUAAAGUAUUUUGAGUAAAUCUUCAAAACCUUAUCUAAGAGAAAGCUACUUUCUUCUAGUCAUCCCUAAAGCUUAUUCAAGAGUCUCAAGAGAUGUUCAAGUACCAUGAAACUACAGCAGCAGCUACUUUAAAACAAGCAAUGCUAUUAAAAUAACCUGUGAUUAGACUGUUUUUGCCAAGAAGAACCAUAAAUAGAUCUAAUAACUAGAAUCUGAAACUAGAAACAGGUACAAGUUUUUUAAACAAUUACUGCCAUGAGCUAUUGCAGCUGCCUAUGCAGGAACACUGUAUGCUCUCAAAGUGUCCACGAGCUGCCUAAAUAUCAUUCAGAGAAGACCACAAAUUAUAAUGCUUGACACCCAAAUCACCAACUGGAACUUAAUGUGCUUUAAUUAUGCACACAGUAGCAAGUCUUCUGAACAGCUACCAAGCCUCACUUGUCAAGACAAUGAGUUUUAACAAAAGGCUUUCCUAUCUGCUUUGACACAACAGGCUCUUUAGUAAGCAAACUGAAAAAAAAAACCCUCUAAAAUUUGUUCAAAUUUCUUUGUGAGUUUCAAGACUUAAAAAACAGAAAUAAAAAUCAGAACAGAGUGAAGAAAAGCAAGCACGCCACCAGCAACUGCUCUUGCCACUAAAAAGUAGGCCACUGGCUUACUAUACAGAAAGGAUACACAGUUUAUCAUUUGGAUUUUCAGCAGAUGGAUAGACAACUGUUAGAGGACACAAAUAUUUGUGUAAGCCUAUCAUUCAUAAAUAACCUCCUGUGUGGAAAUUGUGAACUUUUACCUUUGGUCACGCUUGAUCUUCAACCAGAGGCUACUUUCAGAGACAGUGAAACAAAAAAAGCAGGCACUAACUAAAACGAAAAAGUUUGAGAGUCAGCACCUAGGAAGCAUUUCACACAUUAACUGCAAGACUUUACUCCAGUCCUUCAGCAUACACAGUUUUAUAAUAUCCCCACGUAUCACAACUCCAUUACCAUCUCUCAGUAUAUGGGGAAUAUAUAUCCAUGGCAUACAUGAGGCACGGAGAUACAUAUACUGCUCCUCACAUGAUUGGAGUCUAAAAGAGGAAGAACUGGAAGAACAGAGCAGUUGUGUUGGCUUUUGUUCUUGCUGGAUGACCCUUCCUGUAUGGAUGGCUGUAUUAGUGUCAAGCCAGUACAGAAAAAGAGGCCUGAUUAUUUUUCUCUAAUGUUUGGUUUUCAUCAUGAGUAACCUGCAAAAGUGACCAUUUUCUCCCAAUUUGCUGGGCUGCUCUGAGACAGCAAAAGAAGGCUCAUGAAGGAGUACCAGAGCAAUAUGUAUCUGUGACAGCUGAAGAGGGAAGCUCCACCAUUAACAUGGAGGCUGUUACUUAGCAAGAAUUUUCUCUUUCAAGGCAAGUUAAGGUUGUAUUUAUUAGACUGAAUUUUUUUAUUCAGGUAAUGAACUGAAUCAGAGAUCGCUGGUUAGAAAGGAAUAUUUUUAUUGGAAAAAAAUUAAUCCUACAGGCAUGGAGGUAACUUUGGUUUAAAAAAAAUACUGUCAAAGUAUUGAUUAUAAAGACUUUCCAAACAGA